GGAAUCCCAGAAAUUUCCAUUUCCAUGUGGCUGUUGCAAUGCCGGUGGUUGUUGAGAACUAAAUAAUCAUUAAUGAUGAUUUUCCAGAUCAAUUUUGGAUCAAGGGGCAACAGUCUUUCAACACCAGGAGGCAGGCACGAAGCCGGAAUGGCAGGCGGAGGUCUUACCCGGGAAAGGCUGUCUGGCGAGGGCAGACGAUUGCAGGUGCUUCAG